rnacentral:rRNA from 1 species
UACAGGGGGUGCAAACGUUGCUCGGAAUCAUUGGGCGUAAAGCGCACGUAGGCGGUCUGUUAUGUCGGAUGUGAAAGCCCUCGGCUCAACUGAGGAAGUGCAUCCGAAACUGGCAGGCUAGAGUACUAAAGAGGGUCGCGGAAUUCCCGGUGUAGAGGUGAAAUUCAUAGAUAUCGGGAGGAACACCGGUGGCGAAGGCGGCGACCUGGGUAGAUACUGACGCUGAGGUGCGAAAGCGUGGGGAGCAAACAGG